GGUCCGAGGGGCGCGGGCCGCCGCUGGGGCCUGGGGGCGCGGCUGGGCCUCCGCCCGUUCCCAGGGCCCCGCCCAGGCCAGGCUGGAGGCGGUGCCCGCCCCUCCUCCGGCAAGCCCUCCUUGCCCCCUCUCCCCCAACUCUGCGCGAGACCAGUGCCCGGCCGCGGGGCGAGGCAGGGAGCCCGCGGGCGGCGAGGGAGGAAGGGGGCUGCUCUCCAGCCGCGGAGGUUGGCUGGGAGCGCGGAGGGUGCCUGGAGCGCAGGCAAAGCAAGAAACGAGGUUUCGAACAGUCUGGGAAAGCCAGGAGAAAGUUGUUCAAAGUACAAACAUCUGAAGCUCAAGAAGACUACAUUCCUCUUCUCCAGGAGCCUCCAGGUGCAGCCUCCAGGUGCAGCCUCAACCAUUUCAAUCUCCCUUCUCCGGAGCAGAGGCCCCUCCCCCCAGGAGGGGACACACACGUGUCUCCACCGGCAUCAGAGGAGCAGACCGUUGGCCCUGCCCGCAAGGAGCUGACAGAUUCAACUACACUUGGAGAGAUAGGAAAAGGUCAUUGAAAAACAAAAAUCUGUGAAGAUAACUGUGCCACAGAUACCAAGUCCAGUGGGCCAGGAUGGCUUAGAAGGCAACAAAACGAAAAUCAACAGGAGUGGGAUGUGAAGACUUGGACUGAGCAGGGGAUCAGAGCUGACGACAAGACCUUCAAUAAGUGCCUGCCUUCUUUGGAUCUUGGUUUCCUAAUCCUAACAGACCUCAAGUAUCUGCUGAAUAUUACAGAUAAGAAGAUCACAGGAAGUCAGGAGGGCUUAACACCUUCUGAAAAGUUUGCUUGAGGACAUAUCAUGUCACCUUACUUGACCCUGCAGAGAACUGUUAAUUUUAUACCUAGGGGGAUGUGAGUCAAAAGAAACCUGUAAACCCAACUGGCCUGG